UAACAUGGGAGUUGGGAAAUCUCCUGUCAAGCCUAUUAUUAAUCUACUUUUGUUAUGUGCCAUCAAGUCAGAAUUGACUUGCAGCCACCCUUGAGAGUUUUCAGAUCCAUGAUCUUGGAUGCACCACAUGGGAGGAAAUACGACAGAAGGAAUGGCAAAAGCAGUUUCUGCACAUGAGCCAUUGCUUGAGGAUAAUUUCUGGGAAUUAUGCCAUUGAGCCAUGUCAACUGGCUUUGUGAAUCAUCUUGGCUGUUUCCUUCCUGCAGUUCUCCUUGGAUAUCUUCUGUUGCACAUAAACAUGGCUACAGUAAAAAUAUACAAAUUUGAACCAAUAGCUUUAGUGUCUUCUGUUCCUGAAGUAUCUUCAGUGUCUUCUGUUCAGUCAGUGUUCAAAGGUCACGUAAUUACCAUCAGUUGGCAUACUUCAAGGACACUCAAAACAAUGUCACAAAAAUAUUUGUGUUGACAGUGAACAUUGCCAAAAACAGUCCACACAAUGUUUAUCUCUGAGCACCACACAAGGUUGAGUUUCAGAAGACAUAUGCCAACUAUCUUUUUAUUUUUAUUUUUAUUCUUUGUCUACUUAGUAUACAAAGCACAGGGGCUGACUAGUUUGUUUCUUUGAAGUUGCUUUCUUCCAAAUAUAUUGCAAAUGUAAACUACUUUUUAGUUAUGCUUGUUAGCUGUGCAGUGU